rnacentral:rRNA from 1 species
UCCUGAGGGGAUGAUGAAAGACGGAGCAAUCUGUCACUUGCGGAUGGGCCUGCGGCGCAUUAGCUAGUUGGUGAGGUAACGGCUCACCAAGGCGACGAUGCGUAGCCGACCUGAGAGGGUGAACGGCCACACUGGGACUGAGACACGGCCCAGACUCCUACGGGAGGCAGCAGUAGGGAAUCUUCCGCAAUGGGCGAAAGCCUGACGGAGCAACGCCGCGUGAGUGAUGAAGGUUUUCGGAUCGUAAAGCUCUGUUGCCAGGGAAGAACGUCCGGUAGAGUAACUGCUAUCGGAGUGACGGUACCUGAGAAGAAAGCCCCGGCUAACUACGUGCCAGCAGCCGCGGUAAUACGUAGGGGGCAAGCGUUGUCCGGAAUUAUUGGGCGUAAAGCGCGCGCAGGCGGUCAUUUAAGUCUGGUGUUUAAGGCCAAGGCUCAACCUUGGUUCGCACUGGAAACUGGGUGACUUGAGUGCAGAAGAGGAGAGUGGAAUUCCACGUGUAGCGGUGAAAUGCGUAGAUAUGUGGAGGAACACCAGUGGCGAAGGCGACUCUCUGGGCUGUAACUGACGCUGAGGCGCGAAAGCGUG